rnacentral:tRNA from 1 species
CCUUCGAUAGCUCAGUUGGUAGAGCGGUGGACUGUAGAGAGAGAGAUGAACGCAGACAGUAGAAAUCCAUAGGUCACUGGUUCAAAUCCGGUUCGAAGGA